CAUGCAGGCGGUCGGACGCGUUUCCAGUGACAGCGGGUGGCUUAACUACCCGGAGGGUUGGAAAGACGGUUUGACUUGAGUGCUCGAGAGGGACACGGAAUUCCGGGUGGAGUGGUGAAAUGCGUAGAGAUCCGGAGGAACAUCAAAGGCGAAGGCAGUGUCCUGGCGAGUGACUGACGCUGAGGUGCGAAAGCCAGGGGAGCGAACGGGAUUAGAUACCCCGGUAGUCCUGGCCGUAAACGAUGACCACCAGGUGUAGGAGGUAUCGACCCCGUUCUGUGCCGGAGUAAACACACUAAGUGGUACCGCCUGGGGAGUACGGUCGCAAGGAUUAAA
rnacentral:rRNA from 1 species